GGGGAUUUAGCUCAGUGGCAUAAGCGCCUGCCUUGCAAGCAGGAAGUCAUGAGUUCGAUCCCCG
rnacentral:tRNA from 1 species